rnacentral:rRNA from 1 species
UCAGAACGAACGCUGGCGGCGUGGAUAAGACAUGCAAGUCGAACGAGAGAAUUGCUAGCUUGCUAAUAAUUCUCUAGUGGCGCACGGGUGAGUAACACGUGAGUAACCUGCCCCCGAGAGCGGGAUAGCCCUGGGAAACUGGGAUUAAUACCGCAUAGUAUCGAAAGAUUAAAGCAGCAAUGCGCUUGGGGAUGGGCUCGCGGCCUAUUAGUUAGUUGGUGAGGUAACGGCUCACCAAGGCGAUGACGGGUAGCCGGUCUGAGAGGAUGUCCGGCCACACUGGAACUGAGACACGGUCCAGACACCUACGGGUGGCAGCAGUCGAGAAUCAUUCACAAUGGGGGAAACCCUGAUGGUGCGACGCCGCGUGGGGGAAUGAAGGUCUUCGGAUUGUAAACCCCUGUCAUGUGGGAGCAAAUUAAAAAGAUAGUACCACAAGAGGAAGAGACGGCUAACUCUGUGCCAGCAGCCGCGGUAAUACAGAGGUCUCAAGCGUUGUUCGGAAUCACUGGGCGUAAAGCGUGCGUAGGCUGUUUCGUAAGUCGUGUGUGAAAGGCGCGGGCUCAACCCGCGGACGGCACAUGAUACUGCGAGACUAGAGUAAUGGAGGGGGAACCGGAAUUCUCGGUGUAGCAGUGAAAUGCGUAGAUAUCGAGAGGAACACUCGUGGCGAAGGCGGGUUCCUGGACAUUAACUGACGCUGAGGCACGAAGGCCAGGGGAGCGAAAGGGAUUAGAUACCCCUGUAGUCCUGGCAGUAAACGGUGCACGCUUGGUGUGCGGGGAAUCGACCCCCUGCGUGCCGGAGCUAACGCGUUAAGCGUGCCGCCUGGGGAGUACGGUCGCAAGAUUAAAACUCAAAGAAAUUGACGGGGACCCGCACAAGCGGUGGAGUAUGUGGCUUAAUUCGAUGCAACGCGAAGAACCUUACCUGGGCUUGACAUGUAAUGAACAACAUGUGAAAGCAUGCGACUCUUCGGAGGCGUUACACAGGUGCUGCAUGGCCGUCGUCAGCUCGUGUCGUGAGAUGUUUGGUUAAGUCCAGCAACGAGCGCAACCCCUGUUGCCAGUUACCAGCACGUGAAGGUGGGGACUCUGGCGAGACUGCCCAGAUCAACUGGGAGGAAGGUGGGGACGACGUCAGGUCAGUAUGGCCCUUAUGCCCAGGGCUGCACACGUACUACAAUGCCCAGUACAGAGGGGGCCGAAGCCGCGAGGCGGAGGAAAUCCUAAAAACUGGGCCCAGUUCGGACUGUAGGCUGCAACCCGCCUACACGAAGCCGGAAUCGCUAGUAAUGGCGCAUCAGCUACGGCGCCGUGAAUACGUUCCCGGGUCUUGCACUCACCGCCCGUCA